AUGCAGGUUGAUUUCAGGUGUGGAUGGAACUCAAUGAUGCUCGGCGUCAUUGGAAGUGAUCAUUUUGAAUCAUGGUAUGACAUAAACUACAGUCUCACCCUCUUCACCCCAAUUGAAGGUUUCAAGAAAAGCAGUGCCGUGUUCAAAAUCGACUAUUCUGACCAUUUGGAUUUGGAGACCAGAGUGUUACUACCAACAAUGAGGGUAGGAUUGAAAGCUCUGUGCAUCUACCAAAAAAUGAACAGCACAUCCUCUGAACUAGAUGAAGAAAGCUUCUUUGCAGAUGACUUAAUUCCGAAAAAAGAUUUGUUUUGGAGAGGAGCUGUCAACAUUGAUACAUUGUUUUAUCCAACCUUGAAAGUAGAGUUGAAUGUCACUGAACAUGAUUUAUCGUACACAACCAACUCCUUGAUAGACUUUCCAAACUUUGGUGCAAACAUCACGAACAAGCUCUUUUUCUCUGUAAGUGCGCAACAAUUUAAAUAAAUCUUUAAAACUCUAUCAAUAUAAAGUUAAACCUCAGUUUUCCAAAUGUUUUGUAUUCAAGAUCCCUAUAUCCAAAGCUACUCUGCGCCUGAGAGGUAAAAAGUGAUGCAAUGAGUUAAUUUUGUGGUUUAGGCAGGUACAAUUUUUCCAACUAACCAAAUUCGCGGCUCAAAGUAGGGUCAUUCACAUUGAGGAAUGUAUUUAACCUGGGCUGUUUCAGUAUUUCCAUGAUCAUUUUAUUUUUUCAUGGGAGAGCCGUUGCUUAAAUUUGUCUGGAAAUUUUAAUGCCUUUUUUCACAAGUGUAAUCAAGAUUCUUUGAAAAUUUCAGGCAAAUUCAUGUGAAACAAAAAUAAAAUGUUAGUAAGAAAUACUGGAACAGCGCAAGUAAGGUAUGUUCUCUUGAGCAGAGAACAACAAUUUGGCCAAGGACCGGCGUAAUUUUGAUGUAUGAUUUAGUACUCACAGUAAAAAAGCAAAAUUUACUCGUUACAAAUUUGAAUCGAGACGAGUGUAAUGCAUGAUGAAAGAUGGGACUUUUCAAAGAUUUCUAGCCGGAUCAAUAAAAACCGAGAACUUGCUUUCUAGAUUCAGGUUACGCACCCUCUGAUAUUUUUUGUUUUGUUACAUUUUUCUUUCAUAAUAAUUUGAAUACCUAUUUCAGCACCUGAUGGGUAUGAACAACAGUCUUGUGGUGGAAACAACAGCUCCAGCGUUUUCGAAAGCUGUUUGUAAUUAUAAAAUGGAAGGCACCUUUGGCAGAUCAAUGAAAUCAAAUCUCGCUCUAAAUGUUACUAGUCACAACCAAUCGUUACCUGUAAGUAACAGUUCAUUAUUCAGAUCAUAUAUUUUCCCUUGAUUUUUUAAAGUUUGUUUAAUUAAAGUUCUCUCAUGUUUGGCCGGAUACUAUCUUUAAAUUAGGUCGCAAAGAAUGCCUUCAUAAAUUAGAGAGGGUUUGACAGCAGCAAAUUAUCAUCAGCAUGCUACCAUUCCGAGUUCCAUUGCUCAGGGUUUUUCAUUGACAAAUUCUGGCUGAAUCCACAGUUUUAUCGAAUUGGAAUCAUUUAGGAAAAUUUCAAACCAACACGAAGACUCUGUUACCUAAUGUCCGUAAUUUACCUACCUGUCAAAUCCCUGGCAAGUUUGAAUCAAAGUAUGUUCUAAUAGAUUCAGUUCUGCUCAAUUUUUUUUUUUUUUUUUUUUUUUUUUUUUUUUUUUUAAAUUUUGAACAAAGAAAGUCUUAUGGAAAACUUGAGUUUAUGCACCAUGAACAAGUUUGAAUAAGUAAGUCAUUAGGAAUGAAGGUCCUAAGCAGAAAAGUAUAAUUUAUGAUGGCAUAUUUUUACACUUAUGGUUUUAAAACUUCUAUGUAGUAUAAUAUUUUCGAUCCGGGAAUAAAUAAGAGUUAGUAUUUCUAACGAUCUUAAAAAAAUUAAAUGAAUGGUUUGAACGUCCUUCGGGACUUAUUCAGUCAGGCACAGAAGCACCUUCAGCAGCCUGAAUGUCGAAACGUUGACUUGCUUUGCCGGCAAGAUAAGACCAGACAGUGCCCAAUCUGCGCUGUGUAAUUUAUCGAUUUUCGAUUCUUGUUGUGCCAACAUAAAUUUCAACAAUCAGGCUGUAGUUACCUUAUAUCCAAUCCGUGCUGACUAGUUACGUUUUCAUUAAGCACAACUUUUAAGUGGGCUAAUGAUUCAGUGUGAUUUCAGGGAAGUGUAGACGUUGAGUAUACAUUUCGCGCAACGCAGUACGAUGACGAUCUCAGAGAAUUUUCUGACAGGGAUAAAUACGGCCUGUAUGUGACACAAGUCAACAUCAGGACUCCGUUCAGCUCAAUGCAGUAUGUGAAAGGCAUCAUGUUCUUCCAAGUUGACCGUAAUUCCUUCGAAAACAAUGUUUCAAUUGUCACCAAUUUCUCAAAAAUGUUCUUGGAAGCUAGUCUGCAGGUUUGUAUCUUAUCAAAGUAUUUUUUUUUGUCAAUUCACAAGGCAUUCAUGGAUAAUUACUGUGUGUGCGGUAGAAAUCACAUAAAGUGUGUAUCAUAAUUUCUUUAUUAAUUAACACUUUGUCUGCAAAGACAAAAAAAAAUUAAAAUGCCUGAUGAGUAGUGAUGAGAAGUAAUUUCUUCGUAUUUUUUAGGGCUGAAUCCGGAAAGGACUAUUAAUUUCUCCAAUCACAUCAAGAUUUUCUAAAAAAUCUAAUUUUUUCCUAAAAAUAGGAUUUUUUCCAAAAAAUUUGAUUUUCUGUUCGUUUCGCUGUUUUUCUCUGACGCAGCUCUGUGCAAGAUAUAAAAUAAAAAAAUUCCGGUUGAAGACCUGCAUAAUGUUUCCUCUAACUUGUAAGGCUAAGGAGCAGGGCUAAUUGUUUAAUCAAGAAUUUAAUUCACUUAUUUAUGAGAAAUUUUCCAUUACAAAGAGACAGUUAAAUUUUAAUGGUCUCUAACAAUGGUUACUUAAUAAUGGUUACUUUGCUUCUUUUUCUUUUUACUAUUAACAUAUAACAUUUAAGUAUCACCUGUUUUAUCAGUGUCACUUUUCUUUUUUUUCCCAGUGUGUCUUACUUUUCUGUUGUUUGUUAUGCAGUCAUAUGAAAAUUACUUUGAGUCAGCAGUUGGUAUUAAUAUCUCCUCCAAGUUCAUCAAAUUUCCCUACUUCAAAAUGCUGAUCAAGAAAGACUUCUUGGAACUGGAUAAGAAAAUCAGAGUCAACUUCAUAUUACCAUCCACAACUUCGGUAAGUAGGUUUUUGCCUGUUAUUUACUCCAUUUAGAUUAAUUCAAUUGUCACGCUGACUGCCAAGGCUUUUUCAUUCCCUGGUCUUACAAGGCAAGGCCUGUCGGGACCAAUGGUUACCCUUUCUGAAGUAUGUUAGCAUCUAGAGGGCUGCAAACGUUGUCUGUCGACUUCCUUCUGUGCCUCGUAAACGUACGUUACUACAGGGUGCUGAAAAGUGCACCACUCUUAUCCUACUGAUUUGACGUUCCUAACAGUUUUCUGCAUUCAUCAACUCGUCGCUUUCUUCAUUCCUUUUGACAGUGUCCACCAGUCACUAUUUGUUGAGGAAGCUCAAUGAUAAUUCUGUCUUCAUUGGAAACGCACCUACAUUAGAUAAAGGCCAUUCUCCAAGAUAUGAAGAGCAGUGAUUAUUCCGACUUUUCUUUUUUAUUCUUUUCUCUUUUUUGUGCCAUGAUUUCCUAUUAAGCAAGAAGCAAAAAUCUGUUGGGAAUAUGCAAGUGGAAAACUCCAUAUCAUGGCUUUUAAAGUUGCAAAUUU
rnacentral:lncRNA from 1 species